AUUCUCGAAUUCCCGGCCCAUGUACCAAAUGAAAGACCCUCGAGGGAAGACCCUCACUCAGACACUCAAGUCCCGGGACAGCCGCGUACCCAAGAAGACACUGAGACCAUACAUAAAAUGUAGAAGGUAAGAUUUAAUAAAGCAGCGACAUGAAAGCACACAGACCAGAGCUCUGGGGUCGAAAUAAAGCAGCAACAUGAAAGCACAGAGCUCUGGGGUCGAAACUCAUACACCUAGUGGCACCUAGUGGUGUAGAGGAGAAUCGACGACCAGCCAAAAUUUUUCACAGGCUUAUAUAGUAAAACUCAAAGGGGGAGAACUGGGCAGGGAAAGUACAAGUUUACAUCACUAGGGAGUUCUGCCAAGGGACAAGGGGUUCUGCCAAAGGAUUCUACGUAACUAAGGAGUCAUGUCCUAUCAAGGAACCUACGUAACUAAGGAGUACCCGGUUCAUUUUGAGGUUGUUUCAGGAGGCCUUUAUCUCAAAAAUGUUCUUGGUCGAACUUUAGGGUGAGGAGUUUUGGGGUGAAAAGUUUAGGAGUGUUCCGAGAACAACCUCUAGAUGGGAGGGGGUGGGCUCCGAGGUAAAAAGUUCAUGUUCUCACAAGAGGCCAGUAAUUUUUCAUUCUUCAAUAUCAUCACAUAUAAAUCUUAGUUUCAUUCUCUGAGAAACAUAGGCUUCAUAACUAUUUAAAAAUGUAUGACUUUCAAAUCCCUUUCUUUCCUGAGCUCAGGUUCAGUGCAGCAUAGCUCAGUUGGAUCUGUGAACUCAAACAUGAACUUGAUCAAUUUUAGUUUUUGUUUUGUUUUGUUUUGUUUUGUUUUGUUUUGUUUUUAUGGCUUGGGUGUCUAAGAAUACCUGAAUAUUUAGAAUAUUAAUAUUUUUCUUUCCUACUGAAAAUAAAAGGAUAUUAGAGUUCAUGUAAUGUUAAAUGACAUCUAUCCAGUUCAUGGAAAUUUGUAUCCAAUGAAUAUUAAGAGUCCAUAGCUAAAAAAGAAAAAUAACCUAAAAAUGAAGUCCAUAGCACAUCUUUGAUGACUUAUAUUAAUAAAAAAUGCUAAUAUAUUUCCAGGGAAUUGAAGAGAUGGGAUACUUAUAAAAAGUUUAGCUUUUGUAUAUGCUUGGGGUAGGGAGUGGUUAUAUUAAAGUGUGUGGCCUUGUUGGAGUAGGUGUGUCACUGUGGGUGUCAGGUUAAAUACCCUAGUACUAGCUCCCUGGAAGUCAGUUUUCUCUUAAAGGCCUGCAAGUGAAGAUGUAGAGCUCUCUUGCCUCCUCCUGCACCAUGCCUGCCUGGAUGCUGCCAAGCUCCCACUUUGAUAAUACUGCACUGAGUCUCUGAACCUGUAAGCUAGCCCCAAUUAAAUAUUUAUAAGAGUUGCCUUGGUCAUGGAGUCUGUUCACAGCAGUAAAACCCUAAGACAGAAGUUGUUAUCAAGAGUUGGAUAUUGCUGUGAUAGGCCUGACCAUGCUUUUGUCUGAAAGACCUGGCACAAGAGGGUUUAGUGGAAAAUUUCAGUAUGUGGCAUGAGGCUGUUUUUGUGAUAUUUUGAUGAAGAAUGUGGCUGCUUUCUGCCAUUGUCGGAAGAGUCUACCUGAGGCUAAGCCUGAGGAACCAAGGGGACUCUGCAUUAGCAGCAAGGGUGGAAAACUGGAGACGAGUCAUUGCUUCUGCCUCGGUGGGAGGAGGAUCUUCUUCGUCUGAGUCCUGGAUAUCCAGCUGAUGGUAGUGGACUACAACUGGCUUACUUAAAGCAGCUUCAAUCUACACUGCUACCUGCUGAGAGGCCUCUGAGCUAUUCUGGAGACUACACCCUAUCCUGCACUUCAUCACCUGCAGCUGGUUCCGGGCUCCAAGAAUGGAUUUGCGGGAGAUGGGCCUCU
rnacentral:lncRNA from 1 species